UACGGAGGGUGCAAGCGUUAUCCGGAUUCACUGGGUUUAAAGGGUGCGUAGGUGGGCUGGUAAGUCAGUGGUGAAAUCUCCAGGCUUAACUUGGAAACUGCCAUUGAUACUAUCAGUCUUGAAUACCGUGGAGGUCAGCGGAAUAUGUCAUGUAGCGGUGAAAUGCUUAGAUAUGACAUAGAACACCAAUUGCGAAAGGCAGCUGGCUACACGAA
rnacentral:rRNA from 1 species